GACGAACGCUGGCGGCAGGCUUAACACAUGCAAGUCGAACGAAGCCUUCGGGCUUAGUGGCGGACGGGUGAGUAACACGUGGGAACGUACCUUUUGGUUCGGAAUAACGCAGAGAAAUUUGCGCUAAUACCGAAUGAGCCCUUCGGGGGAAAGAUUUAUCGCCGAAAGAUCGGCCCGCGUUGGAUUAGGUAGUUGGUGUGGUAAAGGCGCACCAAGCCUACGAUCCAUAGCUGGUCUGAGAGGAUGAUCAGCCACACUGGGACUGAGACACGGCCCAGACUCCUACGGGAGGCAGCAGUGGGGAAUCUUGCGCAAUGGGCGAAAGCCUGACGCAGCCAUGCCGCGUGAAUGAUGAAGGUCUUAGGAUUGUAAAAUUCUUUUACCAGGGACGAUAAUGACGGUACCUGGAGAAAAAGCCCCGGCUAACUUCGUGCCAGCCGCCGCCGUAACAC
rnacentral:rRNA from 1 species